AAGGCGUUUACCUUAUUCUGCGCGAUUUCUUCGGACAGUGUCUGAGGUUUCGCUUUCCUUAAACGCUCCUUAUAAGGCGUAGGCGCAGCGUCACUCUCAGCUACGGGAUAGCGAGUUGCCAGCAAGCCAGCGGCUCCGUUCGGGCUUUCCCGAAUUGUUUUCUGUUUUGCCAGUUUCCGUUUUUUAUUUUCAUUAUUAUCAUUUGUCUUGUAAAAAUUAUUAUUUAUUGUAAAUAAAUAUAAUUUUUCUCUGCA